GGCUUGGUGUAACUCAGUGGUAGAGUGUCUGCUUCGCAUGCAGAAAGUCCUGGGUUCAAAUCCCAGCUCCUCCA
rnacentral:tRNA from 1 species